rnacentral:rRNA from 1 species
UCGAGCGCUGAUUUCGGGGUAGCAAUAUUCCGGAGUCGGAGCGGCGCAAGGGUGCGUAACACGUGGGUAAUCUGCCAUGAAGUCUGGAAUAACUUGCUGAAAGGCGAGCUAAUACCGGAUGUGACGAUCGGGAGACAUCUCCUGGUUUUUAAAGUUGGGGACCGUAAGGCCUGACGCUUCAUGAUGAACCCGCGGCCUAUCAGCUAGUUGGUGAGGUAACGGCCCACCAAGGCUAAGACGGGUAGCUGGUCUGAGAGGACGACCAGCCACACUGGAACUGAGACACGGUCCAGACACCUACGGGUGGCAGCAGUCGAGAAUUUUUCACAAUGGGCGCAAGCCUGAUGGAGCGACGCCGCGUGGGGGAUGAAUGGCUUCGGCCCGUAAACCCCUGUCAUUCGCGAUCAAACCUUGUUAUUUAAAAGAUGACGAGCUGAUAGUAGCGGAAGAGGAAGGGACGGCUAACUCUGUGCCAGCAGCCGCGGUAAUACAGAGGUCCCGAGCGUUGUUCGGAUUCACUGGGCGUAAAGGGUGCGUAGGUGGUGAGGUAAGUCGGAUGUGAAAUCUCGGAGCUCAACUCCGAAAUGGCAUUGGAAACUACCUUGCUCGAGGAAUGGAGGGGGGACUGGAAUUCACGGUGUAGCA